UACAGAGGUCUCAAGCGUUUGUUCGGAUUCAUUGGGCGUAAAGGGUGCGUAGGUGGCGCCGUAAGUCAGGUGUGAAAUUUCGGAGCUUAACUCCGAAACUGCAUUUGAUACUGCGGUGCUUGAGGACUGGAGAGGAGACUGGAAUUUACGGUGUAGCAGUGAAAUGCGUAGAGAUCGUAAGGAAGACCAGUGGCGAAGGCGGGUCUCUGGACGAGUUCC
rnacentral:rRNA from 1 species